GGUACGGGUGGGCAUGCGUAACAUUAGCGGUUGGUAGGGUAACGGCCUACCAAGGCAACGAUGUUUAGGGGCCUGAGAGGGUGAUCCCCCACACUGGUACUGAGACACGGACCAGACUCCUACGGGAGGCAGCAGUGAGGAAAUUGGUCAAUGGGCGCAAGCCUGAACCAGCCAUCCCGCGUGGAGGAAGAAGGCGCUAUGCGUUGUAAACUUCUUUUUCGGAGGAAUAAAAUUUCGUACGUGUACGGGACUGAAGGUACUCCGGGAAUAAGCAUCGGCUAACUCCGUGCCAGCAGCCGCGGUAAUACGGAGGAUGCAAGCGUUAUCCGGUUUAUUGGGUUUAAAGGGUCGUAGGCGGACUAAUAAGUCAGUGGUGAAAACCUUCAGCUUAACUGGAGACUUGCCAUUGAUACUGUCAGUCUUGAGUAUGGUUAAGGUAGGCGGAAUGUGUAAUGUACCGGUGAAAUGCUUAGAUAUUACACAGAACACCGAUUGCGAAGGCAGCUUACUGAGCCAUAACUGACGCUGAUGACGAAAGCGUGGGGAGCGAACAGGAUUAGAACCCUGGUAGUCCACGCCGUAAACGAUGAUCACUCGCUGUUGGCGAUACACAGUCAGCGGCUAAGCAAAAGCAUUAAGUGAUCCACCUGGGGAGUACGGCCGCAAGGCUGAAACUCAAAGGAAUUGACGGGGCCCGCACAAGCGGAGGAACAUGUGGUUUAAUUCGAUGAUACGCGAGGAACCUUACCUGGGCUUAAAUGUUGAGUGCAUGGGGUAGAAAAUCCCUUUCCUUCGGGACUCUUUGCAAGGUGCUGCAGUUGUCGUCAGCUCGUGCCGUGAGGUGUCGGGUUAAGUCCCAUAACGAGCGCAACCCUUAUCGUUAGUUGCCAGCGGGUAAUGCCGGGAACUCUAACGAAACUGCCGGUGUAAACCGUGAGGAAGGUGGGGAUGACGUCAAAUCAGCACGGCCCUUAUGUCCAGGGCUACACACGUGUUACAAUGGCCGGUACAGAGGGCAGCUACCUGGAG
rnacentral:rRNA from 1 species